rnacentral:tRNA from 1 species
GGGCGCGUAGGCUAGCCUGGACCAGACUGGAGGGCUUCGGACCCUCUGACGGGAGUUCGAAUCUCCCCGCGCCCG